AUUGAACGCUGGCGGCAUGCCUAACACAUGCAAGUCGAACGAGAAAGUGGGCAACCAUGAGUAAAGUGGCGGACGGGUGAGUAAUACGUAGGAAUCUGCCUUAAGGUGGGGGAUAACCACGCGAAAGCGUGACUAAUACCGCAUACUCCUUUAGAGGAAAAGGGGGCUAGCAAUAGCUCUCGCCAUAAGAUGAGCCUACGUCGGAUUAGCUAGUUGGUAGGGUAAUGGCCUACCAAGGCAACGAUCCGUAGCUGGUUUGAGAGAACGACCAGCCACACUGGGACUGAGAUACGGCCCAGACUCCUACGGGAGGCAGCAGUGGGGAAUAUUGGACAAUGGGCGAAAGCCUGAUCCAGCAAUGCCGCGUGUGUGAUGAAGGCCUGCGGGUUGUAAAGCACUUUCGUUGGGGAAGAAAUACUUAAAGCUAAUACCUUUAAGGGUUGACGUUACCCAAAGAAGAAGCACCGGCUAACUCUGUGCCAGCCGCCGCAGUAACAC
rnacentral:rRNA from 1 species